rnacentral:snRNA from 1 species
AAGAGCUGAGGGAAAUAGAUU